ensembl:lncRNA
GUGGGAGGAGGGUUGGGAGGUGGGAGGAGGGUUGGGAGGUGGAAGUUGGGCUGUGAGGAGGGCUGGGAGGUGGAAGUUGGGCUAUGAGGAGGGCUGGGAGGUGAAAGUUGGGCUGUGAGGAGGGUUGGGAGGUGGGAGGUGGGCUAGGAGGUGGGAGGAGGGUUGGGAGGUGGAAGUUGGGCUGUGAGGAGGGCUGGAAGGUGGAAGUUGGGCUGUGAGGAGGGCUGGGGGGUAGAAGUUGGGCUGUGAGGAGGGCUGUGAGGUUUGGGUGGCUCAAAUAAUCAAACAGGAAUGUGGAAUACAAGGGAUUGAGGCCAUUCACUGAAUCCACCCAGAACACAUCCUGCCUGGGAAAAUCUAUACAACUGUUAGCUUUUAUGUUGACCUUGACAAUGAUUUCAUCAUGCUAAACUGUACAUGUCAAUAUUUUGGCCACCCAGACAGACAAACAGACAAAAACAUCCAGAAAUCAACUACUGGUACAAAACUGUAGAUGCAAGUAUUUAAGACAUUCUCUUUGUUGGUCUUUGGAACUCUCCCCUGUCAUAUUCCCUCCCAUACAUCAGUGCCCAUAUGGUGAAGAGCACUGCGGUGUCUGCCUGCCCUUUACAUUUACAGGAGUCAGUUAACUACACAUCCUCUUCCUCCUCCUCAUCUUCACACUCACACUACACUAAAAUGUCAGUAUUCUGACUUGAGAUCUACAUGCUUAGCUUGUAUUUUUCAUGCAAGUCUCCCAUUGACAUUGAUAAAUGAUGUACACAGAAGUCUGAGCUACAUACGCUCGUCUCAAGUCAGAAUAUUGAAUAUUUGAGUGUGGGACUUAAAAUAAAGCAGAUAUGCCUCAUAGCAGAGUCGACAUUUAAAUGUGAGAUGUUACUCUACCCAGAGUCCACCUCUAAAACAAACACAUUCCCACCCACUGGCCACUUACACUCUAGGUAAUCUAAAGUGUCCAUCCGUAUACUGACUCCUAACUCCAGACCUCUGACCUGUUUACCUCACUGACCAUAUGGUUGGAACAGGUUGCACUUUGGGAGAAACUGAACUGUGCAAAAAAAGCAGACCAAAGGAUAAACAAUAAAAUAGAGCAUCUAUAACAAGGGUCAUGCAUGAUUUACCCUUAAAAAGAUCUACAUUCAUUUACCUGGAAAUGAAUGCAGGCAGAGAAACAAUAAAUAAAGUAAAGUCAUUUUUGUAUAAAUUAAGAUUUAUGAAACAUGAUACACUGGAGCAAGAUAAGACAAGAAUGUAUUACGUUUCCGUUUUGGUUAGGAAGUUAACAAGAUGCUCUUGGCCAGAGAAGUUCAUCAUGCCAAUCAUACUUGAGUCCCCAUAUCCAUGGUGCAUGCUCUGAAGAGUUCAGAAUAAUCUUCUAGGCAAAGUAGAAAAUGUAUCCAUCAGUGAUCCAACAAAACAAUACUGCUCAUUGGAAUGACUUCGGAACAAACAGUAAAUAGUGUGCAAGAGCAAACCCUUCAGGGCUGGAUGCAAUCCGUAAAGGAAGCUUAACAUUUUAAAGGUCAUUUCCGAUUGAGCCGACAUAUGCAGCUAUUACCGUGAAUGCAGUCUCCGCGAACAUGGAAACAUUGCCUUUCAAUUUCAAUCACGCUGUAAUCCUGAUAUUCAGCACUACAGAUUGAAUCGAGCCCUUAGUGUCCAACUGAGCUUGAAUUAGCAUUUUCUUCAGUUCUGUGUUGCAUUGUCCACUUCUCUUCUUUGAUCAUUGUUAUUUUGGGUCAGGAGAGUGUAGUGACCUACAGCAAGAAUGGCGUUGGGGGAGGCAGGGCGAAAGGGGGUGGUAACUUUACAUCGGUAGACAUGUCAGGACAUGACCCUCCUUCACCCUCUCCCCAACUCCCCUCUCAGACUCAGCUGGUGCUGGCACUUCAAGUCCUCACAACACGUAGUGACAGCUAGAGCCAGGUCUCACAGCAAACUGCCAAAGAGGAACUUCCAACACCCAUUACAACGUUUUAAACCCCAAACGCCUACUAGGUGAUGGGGACAGGAAGAGGAGGGGAGGAGGUUGUCAAUCUCUGUCUUUCUCUCCUCUUCCUUGGCGAGGGCAGAACGACUGGAACAAGAAGAGUCUAAAGUCUCAGAUACACUAGGGAGAGAACUGUUUAUGGAUCAGCUGCUCAUAAUCAAGCUGAAGAGGAGUCUCUGGUCACUAUCCUCUCUCCCCUCAUAUGUAUCCUAUGUCCAAACAGGUGCUCCUUAAUGCUAUUACAUUAAAGGCCCUGUGCAGAGAAUGUUUCUUCUUCAUUUUUCAAAUUUCAUAUCACAGAAUUAUCAGAGUGAGAAGAGCAAAGACAUAGUCCGUAGUACAAGUAUUUCAUGAUUGAACGGAAAGAAAUCCAGGCUGUGUGAGUGUGUGACUGACUGAUAUGUUGAUGGGUGUUUCAUGGAAGGCUGAGACGCACAGGCGCGGUAAGCCGAUAGUACACUGGGAUUAGGGGGUUGUUGGAUUUUACAGUACAAGCAGCAGGUUGCUGGAUCUUACAGUACAAGCAGCAGGUUGCUGGAUCUUACAGUACAAGCAGCAGGUUGUUGGGUUUGUUUGCAUGAAUAACGUCCAAACCUCUCUCUCAGAAACGAUAUGACAUCAUUGACAUCAUCCUGUGUACAAGGUCCUCUCAGGAGCAUUGAUGGUUCUUUACACGUCUGUAAAAUCACAGUAGCAUUAGGGUGGAUCAUGUGUUUUCACACUUAUACAAUGGUUCAGUUGUUUUCAUGAAGAAAAUUAGAAAGUCUUAUUUUUUUAUUGCACAGACAGGAAGUUAAAGAGUGUGAUUCUAUCUUCACAGCUGGAAUCCAG